GGGACCAGACAGGAAGAGAUGGAGGUGGUAAUGUUGUUUUCUAUGGGACCAGACAGGAAGAGGUGGUAAUGUUGUUUUCUAUGGGACCAGACAGGAAGAGAGAUGGUAAUGUUGUUUUCUAUGGGACCAGACAGGAAGAGAGAUGGUAAUGUUGUUUUCUAUGGGACCAGACAGGAAGAGAUGGUAAUGUUGUUUUCUAUGGGACCAGACAGGAAGAGAUGGUAAUGUUGUUUUCUAUGGUACCAGACAGGAAGAGAUGGUAAUGUUGUUUUCUUCUGUGAUGAAAUGUAAAGUGCCUUCGGAAAGUAUACAGACCCCUUGACUUUUUCCACAUUUUGUUACGUAACAACCUUAUUCUAAAAUUGAUUUUAAAAAAUUGUUUCCUCAAUCACAAUACCUCAUAAUGACAAAGAAAAAACGGGUUUUUAGACAUUUUUGCUAAUUUAUUCAAAAUAAACUGAAAUAUCAUACUUACACAAGUAUUCAGACCCUUUACUCAGCACUUUGUUGAAGCACCUUUAGCAGCGAUUACAGCCUCCAGUCUUCAUCGGUAUGAAGGUAACUUGGCACACCUGUAUUUGGGGAGUUUCUCCCAUUCUUCUCUGCAGAUCCAAGCUAUGUCAGGAUCGAUGGGGAGCGUCGCUGCACAGCUAUUUUCAGGUCUCCAGAGAUGUUCGAUCGGGUUGGUGCCAGAUUUCCUCCAGACGUGACACUUGGCAUUCUGGCUAAAGAGUUCAAUCUUGGUUUCAUCAGACCAGAGAAUCUUGUUUCUCAUGGUCAGAGUCCUUUCGGUGCAUUUUGGUAAACUCUAAUGUAAAUAUAAAUAAGGUAUUUCUGUUUUGUAUUUGUUUUUACAUUUGCCCAAAAUAAAAAUAAAAACAGUUUUUGCUUUGUCAUUAUGGGGUAUUGUGUGUAGAUUGCUGAGGAUUUUUAUUUAUUUAAUCAAUUUUUGAAUAAGGCUAUAACAUAACAAAAUGUGGAAAAAGUCCAGGUGUCUGAAUACAUUCCAAAGGCACUGUGUACUUCCUAAAUGUCACCCUGUUCCCUUUAUAGUACACUACUUUUGACCAGG
ensembl:lncRNA